UCUACACGUUGCUUCUCUCUAUAAAUACAAUACCUGUAUCGGAUUAUAUUCCUCAUCAAGCUUCUUCAUUCAUAAAAAACCUUACCUCUCUCUGUGAGGAUUGAUCAACGUUAAUUGAGAGAACCUUGGAUUAAUUGUGAGAAGAAAUAUGAGUUCUGCAAGCAUCAACAUCCAGAGCAUUCUUUGCCCUACCACUAGGCCUCCUCCAAGGACUCAGGACUCUAAUAACUCGACAAGAUCUGGCACUCACAUCCUAACUUCCAAGGAUCAUUUUUCCAAGAGAAGAUGAUGACUCUUUUCAUUCCGUUCCUUUCCCCAGAUCCAUGAAGCGUACGUUCAUCGUUGGUAAUGGAGUUAAGUGGUUCGAUGUAAAGGAAAAAUGAUUAAUGAAUGUCGUCGCAUCUGUAGGGUUCAUCAUCAUGAUAAGAUUGAUUAUGUUCUUUAUUCUUUGUUCUCUUUCUUAAGUUGUCCAUCUUUUCAUAAAGCUGCUUAAUUCUUGUAUCUGUUUUCUGUUUCCUUGUACUUUUUGUUUGCUUAUUGUAAUUAAUAAUUCAUCAUCGAAACACACUGGGAUUAUAAGUUUCGUGCGCGUAUCCUCAAAUUUGUCCAUUAUGUAUAUCGCUCAGAAAGUCAAAAUACAAAACUACACAUACAAUUCAA